UACGUAGGGUGCAAGCGUUAAUCGGAAUUACUGGGCGUAAAGCGUGCGCAGGCGGUUUUGUAAGUCAGAUGUGAAAUCCCCGGGCUUAACCUGGGAACUGCGUUUGAAACUGGAAGGCUAGAGUGUGGCAGAGGGGGGUGGAAUUCCACGUGUAGCAGUGAAAUGCGUAGAUAUGUGGAGGAACACCGAUGGCGAAGGCAGCCCCCUGGGCUAACACUGACGCUCAUGCACGAAAGCGUGGGGAGCAAACAGG
rnacentral:rRNA from 1 species